rnacentral:rRNA from 1 species
GAUGAACGCUAGCGGCAGGCUUAACACAUGCAAGUCGAGGGGCAGCACGGGUAGCAAUACCUGGUGGCGACCGGCGCAAGGGUGCGUAACGCGUGAGCAACAUGCCCUAUACAGGGGGAUAAUCCAGGGAAACUUGGUCUAAUAUCCCAUAGUAUUUAGAGGAGGCAUCUUCUAUAAAUUAAAGCUUCGGUGGUAUAGGAUUGGCUCGCGUGACAUUAGCUAGAUGGUGAGGUAACGGCUCACCAUGGCAAUGAUGUCUAGGGGUUCUGAGAGGAAGGCCCCCCACACUGGGACUGAGACACGGCCCAGACUCCUACGGGAGGCAGCAGUGAGGAAUAUUGGACAAUGGAUGGAAAUCUGAUCCAGCCAUGCCGCGUGCAGGGAAGACAGCCCUAUGGGUUGUAAACUGCUUUUAUAUGGGAGCAAUAAGGUCUACGUGUAGACUGAUGAGAGUACCAUAUGAAUAAGC